CCUACGGGAGGCAGCAGUGAGGAAUAUUGGUCAAUGGACGAAAGCCUGAACCAGCCAAGUCGCGUGAAGGAUGACGGCCCUAUGGUUUGUAAACUUCUUUUAUAUGGGAAUAAAAUGUUCCACGUGUGGGAUUUCGUAUGUACCAUAUGAAUAAGGAUCGGCUAACGCCGUGCCAGCAGCCGCGGUAAUACGGAGGAGCCGAGCGUUAUCCGGAUUUAUUGGGUUUAAAGGGAGCGUAGGGGGUUUGUUAAGUCAGUGGUGAAAGUUUGCGGCUCAACCGUAAAAUUGCAGUUGAAACUGGCAGUCUUGAGUGCGGUAGAGGUGGGCGGAAUGCGUGGUGUAGCGGUGAAAUGCAUAGAUAUCACGAAGAACUCCGAUGGCGAAGGCAGCUCACUGGACUACAACUGACGCUGAGGCGCGAAAGUGUGGGUAUCAAACAGGAUUAGAUACCCUAGUAGUC
rnacentral:rRNA from 1 species